CACGUAGGGCGCAAGCGUUGUCCGGAAUUAUUGGGCGUAAAGAGCUCGUAGGCUGUCUGUUGCGUCCGCUGUGAAAACUCGGGGCUUAACCCCGAGCCUGCAGUGGAUACGGGCAGACUAGAGGUAGGUAGGGGAGAAUGGAAUUCCCGGUGUAGCGGUGAAAUGCGCAGAUAUCGAGAGGAACACCGGUGGCGAAGGCGGCUAUCUGGACAGAAACUGACGCUGAGACGCGAAAGCGUGGGGAGCAAACAGG
rnacentral:rRNA from 1 species